rnacentral:tRNA from 1 species
GCCUGGGUGGCUCAGUCGGUUAAGCGUCUGACUUCAGCUCAGGUCACAAUCUCACAGUUUGUGAGUUCAAGCCCCGCAUCGGGCU